AUUGUCCAUCUUCUUCUUCUGGAAACACCAGUGAACGAAAAUAAAAUUCAUCUUCUUCUUCAGUUAAUUUCGGAUUCUUGUUACGAAAAUGGAGUUUGGUUGAAGACGUAGUUGAGUUGAGGUGCGUCUCCAUUUGAGUUUCCAGUUGAAGUCGGUGGUUCCGUUGAAGUUUCUUGUUGAAAUCCCUGGGCUUGUGCAUCAAUUGCUCAGUUCCGUUGCUGUAAUUGACGGAAUUUUACUAAUUGAAAAUAUCCCAGGUCACUUCUUUCCCUCGUUUUUUGUGUGAUUAAACUACAAUUUGAUGCCUCAGUUAAAAAAAUUCAGGAAUUGUGUAAUUCAUUAGUUGCUAAGUGAGAUUGCUGCAUAACUUGUAGUUUUAUGGUUUUUGUUUUGAAUUGAAAUGCUAGUAGAUGCGAUUUCGCAAUUUUCGAGCAGCGACGAGUUUGGUUGAACUCUUUUUCAUAAC
rnacentral:lncRNA from 1 species